GUCCACGCCGUAAACGAUGUCUACUAGCCGUUGGGAGACUUGAUUUCUUAGUGGCGCAGCUAACGCAAUAAGUAGACCGCCUGGGGAGUACGGCCGCAAGGUUAAACUCAAAUGAAUUGACGGGGCCCGCACAAGCGGUGGAGCAUGUGGUUUAAUUCGAUGCAACGCGAAGAACCUUACCAGGUCUUGACAUCCAGAGAACUUUCCAGAGAUGGAUUGGUGCCUUCGGGAGCUCUGAGACAGGUGCUGCAUGGCUGUCGU
rnacentral:rRNA from 1 species